rnacentral:lncRNA from 1 species
GAGCUGUGUCCUGGCUCAGACGGACAGCUCUGACUCGCUCGCUCUUUCUCUGGGCGCCUGCGCGCCUACCAUGACAAGCCAUUUCAGGCGAGCCGAGCCCCAGAGCCAUGUGUCUGGUGCGCAGUGUUAACAGGGCAGUUAUACCUUUUACAGACAACUGUGGCUCCAAGUCAAGUAUGAACUUACACAAACAGUUUAUAUAACAAGUGGAGGUGUGCGCCUGCGUGCCAAACUUGCUGACUCGUGCAGGCCUGGAUACCCGCCUCAGACUAUUCCUUGACCGAAGCACUUCCAGGGCAGGAAACUGAAGCUCUUGGGAAGGUGGAAGUUGCACGUGGUCUCACAGUCAACUGUGCCAGAAUAGGAGGCCAGGAACCAUCUCUGCUGGAGGAAGACCCACCACGCAUCCCUUCAAGAAUGCCAAGGUCCAGAGCAAGUGCUUCCCUUCUAUGGGCACAGGAGGGCUGUGGGAGCCCACAGAAUGUGCUUCUGGCCAGAGUGGGAUCCCCGAGGAAGAUGUUAAGACCUCUAAUAAUAUUUAAGAGCAAAAUUAGCACAGCUCCAGCCCAUGGGCAAGUUAAGAGACAGGAGUAGUGUCUGUGGAGUGGAGGAAAGCAGAGGCUGCCGCUGACCAUCCUGCAGCCCUCGCUCUGGCUGCUCACAGCUCUCCACCUUCUCUGGACUUCGUCACUUCAGGAUGUGAAACAACCAUUUCAACCAGCUUGGACAAAAGAGAGAAGCCAAGAUGGGGCUGAGAAACCAAUGCAGGCAGGCCCAGGGACCCAGGAGUCAGGGACCAGGUGCUACCAGAUGCUUGCUCCGACUCGUGUUGCUGCUGUCUUCUCUGUGCCUCAACUCUGUCCUCUGUCACUGCAGGCAGCUUCCUCCCAAGGUUGAGAACUGCUUUUGAGCAAUAAAUCAACCAGUGAGGUAGACUCUUGUGGUAUCACCUUUCAACAUGGUCAAGCUAUGGAAACGUGAUUUUAAUUUCUCAGGUUUUUUGUUUGUUUGUUUUUGUUUUUGUUUUUAAUCUGCCAGAUGGAGACCAUGCCAUUGCUAGUCUACCUUGAAAGACAGAUGUGAAGAAUGAAGUCAGGGGCUUUGCAGGAAGGUGAUAUAUCCCACCUCAUGAAAUCAGGCUUCACCACAAGAUUGCUUUGACCAAGGGGACGUGAGUAGAAGUUUGAAGAACCACAGACUGGUCCAUCACCUUGUUUCUUAUCCCUCUGACAUAAGCAAUGUCCCAGACUGGGGCUGUUCUGUUAGCCUGGCUUCCAGAAUGAAGAGAGCUGAUCUACAUGGCAUAUGUAAGAUAAAUAAACCUUUGUUAUUACAAACCACUGAAGAGGCAAGGCUGAGCAGAUAAGAAAGGGUGCUCUCCGGAAUUUAUGGUGCAGAGCAAUGAUAGAAUGGAUUCCUACAAACAUUUCUCUGUCCAAAAAUUGUUGGCAGCUGGCACAGCUAACUCUUAAGUUCUGGAUGCUACAGUUUCUACCCGAUCUCCAUGGGAUAACCACAUUGGUUUGUUUAGUAAACACUGAGACCAACUCCACCAUCCAGAGGCCUGACAGACAAAUGGCCUGAGACAGGGCUGGGAAAGUUUUGCUUCUGGUUGGGACUUCAGGAAGAGUUUUGUUUUGUUUUGUUUUCCCCCAAGGGAACAAGCCCUUGAAUCCGGGAGGCCAAGGUUGCGGUGAACCGAGAUUGCGCCAUUGCACUCCAGCCUGGGCAACAAGAGCGAAACUCCGUCUCAAAAACAUAAAAAGUA